UACAGGGGGUGCAAACGUUGCUCGGAAUUAUUGGGCGUAAAGAGCUCGUAGGCGGCCUGUCGCGUCGGCUGUGAAAACCCGAGGCUCAACCUCGGGCCUGCAGUCGAUACGGGCAGGCUAGAGUUCGGUAGGGGAGACUGGAAUUCCUGGUGUAGCGGUGAAAUGCGCAGAUAUCAGGAGGAACACCGGUGGCGAAGGCGGGUCUCUGGGCCGAUACUGACGCUGAGGAGCGAAAGCGUGGGGAGCGAACAGG
rnacentral:rRNA from 1 species